AUUCCCCUAGUAACGGCGAGUGAACCGGGAAGAGCUCAAAUUUGAAAUCUGGCGUGCUCAGUGCGUCCGAGUUGUAAUCUAUAGAGUCGUUUUCCGUGCCGGACUGUGUCCAAGUCCCUUGGAACAGGGUAUCAAAGAGGGUGAUAAUCCCGUACUUGACACAAUGACCGGUGCUCUGUGAUACGUCUUCUACGAGUCGAGUUGUUUGGGAAUGCAGCUCAAAAUGGGUGGUGAGUUCCAUCUAAAGCUAAAUAUUGGCGAGAGACCGAUAGCGAACAAGUACCGUGAGGGAAAGAUGAAAAGCACUUUGGAAAGAGAGUUAAACAGUACGUGAAAUUGUUAAAAGGGAAACGAUUGAAGUCAGUCGUGACUGAGAGGCUCAGCCGGUUCUGCCGGUGUAUUCCCCUCAGUCGGGUCAACAUCAGUUUUGUUCGGUGGAUAAGGGCAGUUGGAAGGUGGCACCCUCGGGUGUGUUAUAGCCAGCUGUCGCAUACAUCGGAUGAGACUGAGGAAUGCAGCUCGCCUUUAUGGCCGGGGUUCGCCCACGUUCGAGCUUAGGAUGUUGACAUAAUGGCUUUAAACGAC
rnacentral:rRNA from 1 species